GCAGAACCCUAGAUCCUCCAUUAUCGUAAGGACCAUUCGAGAUGGCUCUCUCCAAGCACAUCUUUUUAACCCAUCACCUCAGAACCUUAGCUAAACCCCAUUAUCUCCGCCACCCUCAACCACCACCUUCCUUCAUUUCCCUCCGUCUCCUUUCAUUUGCCACUCCGGAAGAAGCUGCCGCUGAACGCCGUAAACGCAAACGCCGACUCCGUAUUGAACCCCCUUUAUCAUCCCUCCGUCAGCAACAUCAACCUCGUCCCACUACACCUCAAAACCCUAGCUCCACUAAUAACCCGAAUGCACCGAAGAUUCCCGAAACUGUUUCUGUACUAUCCGGUAAUAGACUUAAUCUGCAUAAUCGGAUUCUUAAACUCAUUCGUGAGAAUGAUUUGGAUGAAGCUGCUUUGUACACGCGGCACUCUGUUUACUCUAAUUGCCGCCCUACUAUCUUUACUUGCAACGCUGUAAUGGCUGCGCAACUCCGGCAGUCCAGAUAUUCUGAUCUACUUUCUCUUCACCGGUUCAUCACGCAGGCUGGUAUUGGGGCUAAUAUUGUCACACAUAAUUUGCUCCUCACGGCUUUUAUGGAUUGCCGGAAAACUGAUAUGGCUAUGGAACAUUACAAGCAGCUCAUCAAUAAUGCACCUUUUAACCCUUCCCCGACUACGUAUCGGAUACUUAUUAAAGGACUUGUUGAUAACAACAAGAUUGAUAGGGCGAUGGAGUUGAAGGAGGAAAUGUUGUCCAAAGGGCUUAGUGCUGAUCCGAUUGUGUAUAGUUAUUUGAUGUCUGGACAAGCUAAGGUUUCGAACCCAGAUGCAGUUUUCGAGCUGUAUGAAGAAUUAAAGGAGAAAUUGGGAGGAAGUGUUUCGGAUGGAGUGAUUUAUGGGAGUUUAAUGAAAGGUUAUUUCUUGAGGGGAAUGGAGCAGGAGGCUAUGGAGUGUUAUGAGGAAACUGUGGGUGAGAAUUCUAAGCUUAAGAUGAGUGCUGUGGCAUUCAACUAUAUUCUAGAUGCUUUAAGCAAGAACGGAAAGUUCGAUGAGGCAUUAAAGCUAUUUGACAGGAUGCUGAAUGAGCACGAUCCUCCAAAAAGAUUGACAGUGAAUUUGGGUAGCUAUAAUGUAAUGGUGGAUGGUUAUUGUGCAUUGGGAAGGUUCAAAGACGCAAUCAAUGUUUUUAACAGCAUGGGAGAGAAGAGGUGUAGACCAGACACAUUGUCUUACAAUAAUCUGAUUGAGCAGUUGUGCAAAAAUGACUUGUUGGGUGAGGCUGAGGAGCUCUAUAAGGAUAUGGGCGAAAAAGGGGUCAGCCCUGAUGAGUUCACGUUUGUUUUGUUGAUGGAUACUUGCUUUAAAGAAAGUAGGCCUGAUGACGCUGCUGCGUAUUUUAAGACCAUGGUGGAGUCUAAAUUGAGGCCUAAUCUUGGAGUUUAUGAUAGGUUGGUUGAUGGUUUGGUCAAAGUUGGUAAAGUUGAUGAAGCAAAAUCAUUUUUUGAUCUGAUGAUGGGAAAGCUCAGGAUGAAUGAUGAUAGCUACAAGUUUAUGAUGAACGCAUUGUUUGAUAUUGGGCAGCAUGAUGAGGUGCUUAAGAUUGUGGAUAGAAUGUUGAGGGAGGAUCCAGCUGAUUUCUCUGAUGAGUUGCAAGAGUUUGUUCGAGAAGCCUUGGCGAAGGAAGGUAGAGAUGAGGAGUUGACCAAACUUAUGGAUGAUAUUGAAAGGGAGAAGAAAGAAGCUGCUGACAGGGAGGCUGAAGCAGCUGAAAAAGCGAAGGCCAGUGCAAGAGCUGCUGUUUCCUCUUUGAUAAAUAGUCCUAAAUUGUUUGGAAAUAAGCAGCCUGAAGAGCAGUCAACAAUUACUGGUGAGGCUGCCAGCAUCAACGACAAUGACAAACAAGAGGAGGUGAGUGUUCAAGAAACUGCUGCGGAGGCUAGUUCCUCUGGUGAGGGUGGAGAAGCUGAGAGCCUUGUUGCUGCAGAAGCUAGAAGUGAUGGUGCACUUUGAUGAGGUAGCAGAAUGAUAAAAUAUGUUGGGUGACAACUAAUGAGAAACAGUAGUAGGUUUCCUUUCACUCUGCCACACUUGCAAGCACGAACUAUAUAAUGCUCUUAUGAUAAAUUACUAGUGGGAAAUUG
rnacentral:misc_RNA from 1 species